AGCUUUGCGCAGUGGCAGUAUCGUAGCCAAUGAGGUGUAUCCGAGGCGCGAUUAUUGCUAACUGAACUUUUUAACCCUAAAACUAAGUCAUUAAAUAUCAGAUUCCCCAAACUUAUGACCCGUUCAUUUUUGUCAAAGUUCCAUGAGU